rnacentral:rRNA from 1 species
UGGGUAAUCUUUGAACGUGAAUCGUGAUGGGGAUAGAUGAUUGCAAUUAUUCAUCUUCAACGAGGAAUUCCUAGUAAACGCAAGUCAUCAUCUUGCAUUGAUUACGUCCCUGCCCUUUGUACACACCGCCCGUCGCACCUACCGAUUGAAUGGUCCGGUGAAAUCUUCGGAUCUGAGAGAUGUCUGAUUAAUUUCGGACGCCUUUUGGAAAAGUUGCUUAAACCUUACCAUUUAGAGGAAGGUGAAGUCGUAACAAGGUUUCCGUAGGUGAACCUGCGGAAGGAUCAUUA